CAGAGUCUUCAAGAUCAGACAGAAUCUGGGACUAGAGUCUGGAUUUAAUUAAUAUUCUGAUUUAUUGUUAUUUUUAUUAGAAGCUGAGGAAAUUGAAGCUUGCAUAAUUUUUACUUUAAAAAUUUGCAAUUUUGAUCUACAUUUUAGAAACUAUUACUUUCACCUGUGAAAUGAAAAAAAAAAAACUAAUUUGCAGUGGAAAUUGGUAUUGAAGGAACAACAACAACAAAAAUCCCCCCCAAACCCCCCAAUAACAACAAAAACAAACCCAGUAAGUAGCCCUACAUAAUUUUCUAUGAAUUGCCUGGCCUCUUAUGUAGAAAUAUCUGUCAUUUCUGGGACCCUAGGGCCAUGCAAGAGACAGAUUCCUGCUCCAUUCUGAUUCAGAAGUUCUCUUCUCCCCAUCUCCCAUCUCACUCCAAAUAGCCUGCCACAUUCUUGAAUCUCAGCUUUCCCUUGCAGUUGUCUGACUCCUUCGGCCUCCAGCUUGUUCCCUUUUCACCCUGACUCCAGGGCAACUGUCAUGUGGUGCCUGCUACCAUGUUUGUUGAAUGAAUGGAUGAUUGUGAGGUUACAUAUACUCCUUGUUGCGUCUUUCAUUAAUGAAUAGAAUGUUUAGUGCUACAGAUUCCAGUUCAGUAUAAAGAGGAAAUAUCUAACAAUGGUGAGGUUGUUUGGAAAUGUUUGAGGCUCAGCUAAGAUGAUAUCUGCAGUGAGUCAGAAGCUACAAAAUCACAAAUACCAUCUCUCCUUGAUUUUGGGAUUAUGAGAUUUUAAAAUGAAGGUUGAAUAUCUGCUUUUGUUGUUGGUUGGUUGGUUUUUGUUUUGUUUUUGUGCCAGAUUCUUGAAUCCUGAAGUUAGGUAAGAUAGCAGUUUUUAAUUUUUCCUUCAUAGAACUAAAAAUCUAAAAUCAACAAGCCAAUGGACAUGAGAAAAGCAUAAUCUUGGGAAUCAAGAGUUAGGACUGGAGGUUGGUGAGUAGCUUAGAGUCUAGCAGGGCAGGGCAGAGAGGACCUGGGAAAUCUUACAUGCCUUUGGGGAUGUGCAGGGUCUUGGAGAAAAUCUAGUUUGGAUGAAUGACAAUAUUCAAUGAGAGUGGAGAUAUCAAUAUGUGGUGUUCUGGUUAGAGAGCAGUGUUAGGUGAUGGGGCAAGAGGUAGGUGUUCUCAAAGAUCAACAGAGAAUCCCAGGCAAGGAAUUAUGUGGAGAUUCAGAAAUAGGAGCCUGAGGCAAAAGUGGAAGUAGGUGGCUGGGUCCCUAUCUCCAGACUGGCAUUCAGAACAAGCCUCCAGAGCCACAGACAACUGGGAAGAACCAAGUGGGUGUCAAGGUAAGAAAACAGAGCAGGGUGGAAAAUCAGGACCCAGUUCAAGGGUACGAGGUAGAGGCCUGGUUAAGAUAGAAAGGCUAGCUAUUAGAAAUGGGGCCUAAGGUCAGAGCACAAAACACCAAAGGCAAUGAGCUAGGAUUGCUCCUACCUAGACCAGUCUUAGGAUGAGUUUUAAUACAGGCCGAGCCCAAUCCUGACUUUGGCCUGGGAGCAAGCAAGAAACCUGGUUUCUAUGGUUGAUAGCCAGGUGAGUGAUAAAAUAAACUAAUAUGGAGGCUGUUUAAAAAUAAGUCAAAAGACACACUUAAAAAUUCUUUACUUAUUUUGCCCCCACACCUGCCCUCUGACCCCCAAUUUAUAUUAGGACAUUUAUGCAGGUAAAAUUUAAUUUAGUUUUAUGUUGAAAAUUUUCAGGAAAGCAGCAGAGGAUUUUUUCCAGAUUUUUUGGUUUGUUUCAUUUUUGCAGAAAUUAUUUUCCAGCUAUUCUUUUACUAUGAAACUACUUAUUUUCAUAGAGGGAUGAUUUGCUCAAAAGUUAUGCAGAUAGAGAAAAAAAAUGACCCACUGGUUAAAAACAGUCACAAAAUUACUGUUAGCAUUAUGCAAUUUUUGUGCACUUUUAUCAUCUAUUUUAAAUUAAUUUUUGUGAUAUGAACCUAACAAUACUAUCUGCACAGAAGUGCCACUGGGCAGUCUGAUCAAUGCAGAAAAGAAAUAUAAGUUCAGGGACUUCAGGCCUUGCUUUUGGUUAUGGAACUAAAACUGAGUCUCUUAAUAAAAACAUUUUGAAAGACCCAGAAGUGGUAUGAGUUUUCUUUUGGUUGGCCACCAGAAGACUUCAAGGACUUGCCUCCCCUAUGGAGACAGUUUUCUUCAAGACUGGUCCAGGCGGCCUCUCCAGGAAGCCAGAGGGUAGCAUUCAAGUUUUAUGAGGCCUUUGAUUUGCAUUAAGUCUCCUGCCAACUUCUGAGCAAAGGACAGGAGGGGGGAUUUUCCAUGAGGAGAUCCGUUGAGUUUUUGUGCCAAUUGAAGACUAUGAAUUAAUGCUUUUCUGAUAUUCCUAAAAUUAAAACCCCAUGAACUAACCAUUUUAGGGUAUUAAGCUUUGCUUCAAAAUGCAUUCUCCACAGAUGAAUCAAAGGGCCUAAUGCAUCUGCUAUUUGGGAAUAAUAAAGCAUGAAAUGGGGUGCAGGACUUAUAUAUUUACAUAAGAAGAAAGAGCUGGAAAAGUUUAGGAAAAACAACAACAGAGGAAGGUGCCACUGUGAGCCUUGCUCUGAAAAAGCAGACAUGUAAACUGCUCCUCUUCAAGCUGCUACCCAGUUUAUGACAAUUUAGAUGCAUAAAGGACUCUCGAAGUCUCAGCCCUUCAUUUCCCUUGGGUUCUCUAGAACUUCCUCUGGAUAUUGGCAUUUUCCUUGCCUUUCUGUGUACUCCUGGGAGAAAAAAAGGGCAAGGGGAAAUCAAGGAAAAGAGAAACAUUGGUGUUUUCCAAAUUUUUGGUGGUGAUCCAGUAUCCUAGUUAGGAAAAUAGUGUUUUAAAAGGAAGAGAAAAGGCCCAAGAUAUAGGAACUUUAGGAAUAGCAGUGAUUUAGUUUUAACUUAAAUUGAGUCAAUCUAGAGAUUGCACUUUAUGAAAGAAAAAGUUGUUUAAAUCACAUAUAAAUGUAACCAAUCUCUUUUGCAAUUUCCUAUACCACCUUAAGGCCCUCAAGGUAAUGCCAACAAAGAAUCAUGGAAUCACAUACUUUUUGUAGCUAUGAGUUGAAUAUCCCAUUAAGAUAACUAGGAUUUUAAAACUAUUAAACAAAACUAUCAUUAUAGAUAGAAUCUCUUUUAUUUUAUUUACUCACAUCAAAACAAAUUCAGGACCAGAUUCGUGGUGUGUGGAAGUUCCUGGAGAAAUAGAGGCACUAUCAGUUAGCAUGGGUUUGGCUGCAUGUGAUGGCAAGCCCAAAGUUAUAGAGCCUUAAACCAGGUUAAAAUUUUAUUUCUCUUUCAAGUGAAGUAAUGUAGAGGUAAUGAGUCCAGGGCUCCUGUGGUAGCUGCAUGGCCCACAGAGACCCCAACUCCUUUAUUCUUGCUGCUUUGCUGUUCUGAGUUUACCUCAUGUCCAAAAGAGCAGUUUUAGUCCUGGUUAUCAUGUUUGUAUUCUAGGGGAUAUAGAUGGAGGGCAAAGGAAAUUCCAAGAAACUACCACACAGUUCUUCCAGUUGUAUUUCAAAAGCCAUUGCUUAAACACCCAGCUAUACCUACCUGUAAAGAAGGCCGAGAGUGCAUUCUUUAUUCUGGGCAGUAAAGUGCUGGAGUUUUAUUAGUAAGGAAGAUGGUGAGAAUACACAUUAGAGCAGGCAGCCAUCAAUCUGUCUCUGUAUCCCUAUUUUAAUAUCUAUUCUUCAACUUGGUUACAACAUUUUUCUUCACUUUUACCUUCACCAAAUAUCUCCCAGAUGAAAGUACAGAGCGAUGAAACAUCAGUUACAUUAUGUGAUGCCUAUAACAAUAGUCAUGAACUGGGAAGACAGGAGGUGAAGGAGAGAUGGUUUUCAACUAAGGAACAAAAAGUCAAGGUGGGAAACAGGACUUAUUCUCUCCCUUCCUCUCUCUCUCAUCCCUGCCCUUCUACAAACAUUUGUAAACACUCUAGCUAUUUGUUUUUUAUUUCUUGGCCAGAGCACCUCACUGCAUAGUUGAAAAUACUUCACAUGAUCCAGUGAAAAGAAAAAUGACAGUUACUUGACCUUUCUGCACUUAAUGGCAGGUAAUUUAACGGAAAGGAUGGCUGUUUAUCUCGGGAAUUAGUAAAGAAGAAAAUAGUAAUAUAUAAAAGGCAUGAACAAUAAAAGAGAGAAAAACCUUAUAAAAAUCAUUAUUAGCAAAAGAGUCAAAAGCCUUGAAUUUCUUUAUUUCCAACACUGCUUUUCACCGGGUAUCUUCAUCUUUCAAAUUUUUGCCAGUUGAGAUAUGUUACUUCACUGAGAGCCAGUAGAAGUAGUUGGUUUUACCUAUAACAUAAACAAAUGCAAUGCAUUCAAAAUUAGAAGAUUCAUUUGUUGUCUCUUUCAUCUUUAGGGUAUGAGUUGCUUUACUCAGGGGAAGCUGUAUGGUAAUAUUCAAAGACGGUGUAGGAUAGAGACCUGAUUGGGCUGUCCUUGAGAGUGAAGCAGAAACCUCACGUGUUGAUCGACUAAUUAGUUGGAUGAUGGUAAUACAACGUGGUAAAAAUAACACAUACCUAGAACUGUGGUUCUCAAACUUUAGUGUGUAUAAUAGGGAGUUCCCAUUGUGGCUCAGUAGGUUAAGAACCUGACAGCACGUCUGUGAGGAUGCGGGUUUGAUCCCUGCCUUCGUUCAGUGGGUUAAGGAUCUGGUGUUGCCGCAAGCUGUGGUGUUGGUAACAGAUGCCCCUCAGAUCCAGUAUUGCUGUGCCUAUGGUGUAGGCCAGCAGCUGCAGUUCCGAUUUGACUCCUAGCCUGGGAACUUCCAU
rnacentral:lncRNA from 1 species